rnacentral:rRNA from 1 species
CGGAAUUCGGUCCUUGCUGCACCCUUGUCUUUUGCGUACCGUAUGUUUCCUCGGCGGGCUUGCCUGCCGGUUGGACAAUAUCAAACCUUUUUGUAGUUGCAAUCAGCGUCAGAAAACAAAUAAUAAUUACAACUUUCAACAACGGAUCUCUUGGUUCUGGCAUCGAUGAAGAACGCAGCGAAAUGCGAAAAGUAGUGUGAAUUGCAGAAUUCAGUGAAUCAUCGAAUCUUUGAACGCACAUUGCGCCCCUUGGUAUUCCAUGGGGCAUGCCUGUUCGAGCGUCAUUUUGUACCCUCAAGCACUGCUUGGUGUUGGGCGUUUGUCCUGCAAAGGACUCGCCUGAAAGCGAUUGGCGGCCAACGUACUGGUGGUAGAGCGCAGCACAAUUUGCGUCUCUCCCUUCUACGUCGGCGUCCAUGAAGCCUUAUUCAAACGUUUGACCUCGGAUCAGGUAGGGAUACCCGCUGAACUUAAGCAUAUCAAUAAGCGGAGGA